UACCAUGCAAGUCGUACGCUGAAGCCUGCUUCGGUGGGUGGAUGAGUGGCGAACGGGUGAGUAACACGUGGGUAAUCUGCCUUGUACUCUGGGAUAAGCCCGGGAAACUGGGUCUAAUACCGGAUAGGACCAUUCCUCGCAUGGGGGGUGGUGGAAAGCUCCGGCGGUAUGAGUUGAGCCCGCGGCCUAUCAGCUUGUUGGUGGGGUGAUGGCCUACCAAGGCGGUGACGGGUAGCCGGCCUGAGAGGGUGACCGGCCACACUGGGACUGAGACACGGCCCAGACUCCUACGGGAGGCAGCAGUGGGGAAUAUUGCACAAUGGGCGCAAGCCUGAUGCAGCGACGCCGCGUGAGGGAUGACGGCCUUCGGGUUGUAAACCUCUUUCGCCAGGGACGAAGGGUGAUACUGACGGUACCUGGAGAAGAAGCACCGGCUAACUACGUGCCAGCAGCCGCGGUAAUACGUAGGGUGCAAGCGUUGUCCGGAAUUAUUGGGCGUAAAGAGCUCGUAGGCGGUGUGUCGCGUCUGCCGUGGAAACCUACAGCUUAACUGUGGGCGUGCGGUGGAUACGGGCAUCACUUGAGUUCGGCAGGGGAGACUGGAAUUCCUGGUGUAGCGGUGGAAUGCGCAGAUAUCAGGAGGAACACCGGUGGCGAAGGCGGGUCUCUGGGCCGAUACUGACGCUGAGGAGCGAAAGCGUGGGGAGCGAACAGGAUUAGAUACCCUGGUAGUCCACGCUGUAAACGUUGGGCGCUAGGUGUGGGGUGCUGUCCACGUACUCCGUGCCGUA
rnacentral:rRNA from 1 species